UACGUAGGGUGCGAGCGUUAAUCGGAAUUACUGGGCGUAAAGGGUGCGCAGGCGGCCGAGCAAGUCGAGUGUGAAAGCCCCGGGCUUAACUUGGGAAUUGCGCUCGAAACUACUUGGCUGGAGUGUGGCAGAGGAAGGUGGAAUUCCACGUGUAGCGGUGAAAUGCGUAGAGAUGUGGAGGAACACCAAUGGCGAAGGCAGCCUUCUGGGCCAACACUGACGCUCAUGCACGAAAGCGUGGGGAGCAAACAGG
rnacentral:rRNA from 1 species